ACGUACUCCUCUCUCACUUUCCCUCUCACUCCCACUGGUGUACCUCCAUACCACCACCUGCACCAUCUUUUUCUGGUGAAGUUUAUUGAAAAACUCCAUAGGAAAAAGCUAAGGCUCGCUCAUUUCUAUGAUUUGAGGUUCUAGCUAAUCUCAUUUGGAGCUUGGAGAAUUAGACUUUUUGUGGGUUGCAAGUUUUUCAGAUCAAUUAGCUAUGCCUCGAGUAUGGAGUUUACUUUAUUUGGUGGUAAUUGGAGUGCUAUGUUAAAUUGAGAGACUUUUGCUGUAAAUGGCUGGUGACUCAAUCUUGCUAUGUUCAACGAGGUCGUAAUUAGCUCUAUUGGAGGUAGGGCACUUCAGGUUUGUUAGCCUUAGGCAUGGUAGGCCUAGAUUUGAUGUUGAGUUGUCUAUUCUUGAUAAGAUUGUGACCUUGUGUAAUCCAUUUGGAGUUUUGUAAUAUAUUCAUGUAUUAUAUGGAGGCACAUGAUUUUUA